ACACCAGUGAAAUAUGCCCUAACAAAACAAACGGAGCAGGUAUCAGGCACGAAUAUUCAGCCCAAAACACCAAGCUACGCCACACCCACACGGGUCCUCAGCAGUGAUAAACAUUAAGCAAUAAGCGAACCUCACUCAACUAAAGCUUGACUUAGUUAUGAUUAAUAGGGCCGGUCAACCUCGUGCCAGCCACCGCGGUUACACGAGGGGCUCAAAGCAGCAAACUCCGGCGUAAAUCGUGAUUAGAAUACUUACCCCCAGCCUAAAAGCUAAACAAUGCCCUAACCGUAAAACACAGGCCAAAUGAAACCCUCAACUUUUAAUGUACCGGUAAUUUGAAUCACGAAAACUAAGAAACAAACUAGGAUUAGAUACCCUACUAUGCUUAGUCGUUAAUAUGGUGUAUUAAUACAUAAAACACCCGCCAGAAAACUACAAGCGAAAAGCUUAAAACUCAAAGGACUUGGCGGUGCUCCACACCCGACUUAGAGGAGCCUGUCCUAUAAUCGAUACUCCACGUUAAACCCCACCACUCAUUGCCCAAACAGCCUAUAUACCGCCGUCGCCAACUUACCCCAUGAGGGUAUAACAGUAAGUACAAUAGUUAAUUAACUAAAACGUCAGGUCAAGGUGUAGCUAAUGGAGUGGUAGAGAUGGGCUACAUUUUUUAAAAUAAAACAAACGGCACGAAACUAUGAAACAAGCUUCCGAAGGAGGAUUUAAUAGUAAAAUUAUUAAGAAAACUAAUUUAAAAU
rnacentral:rRNA from 1 species